rnacentral:rRNA from 1 species
CCUACGGGUGGCAGCAGUGGGGAAUAUUGGGCAAUGGGCGAAAGCCUGACCCAGCAACGCCGCGUGAAGGAAGAAGGCCCUCGGGUUGUAAACUUCUUUUGUCAGGGACGAAGAAAGCGAUGGUAGCGGACGAAUAAGCCACGGCCAACUACGCGCCAGCAGCCGCGGUAAUACGUAGGCGGCAAGCGUUAUCCGGAUUUACUGGGUGAAAAGGGAGUGAAGGCGGGACAGAAAGUCGGAUGUGAAAAUCCAGGGCUCAACCCUGGAACUGCAUUGGAAACUGUCCUUCUGGAGUGGUGGAGAGGCAGGCGGAAUUCCGAGUGUAGCGGUGAAAUGCGUAGAUAUACGGAGGAACACCAGUGGCGAAGGCGGCCUACUGGACAUUAACUGACGCUGAGGCGCGAAAGCGUGGGGAGCAAACAGGAUUAGAUACCCGUGUAGUC